GAUGAACGCUAGCGGCAGGCCUAACACAUGCAAGUCGAGGGGUAGAGGAAGCUUGCUUCCUUGAGACCGGCGCACGGGUGCGUAACGCGUAUGCAAUCUACCUUUUACAGAGGGAUAGCCCAGAGAAAUUUGGAUUAAUACCUCAUAGUAUAUAUCAUUCGCAUGUUUGGUAUAUUAAAGUUCCAACGGUAAAAGAUGAGCAUGCGUCCCAUUAGUUAGUUGGUAAGGUAACGGCUUACCAAGACGAUGAUGGGUAGGGGUCCUGAGAGGGAGCUCCCCCACACUGGUACUGAGACACGGACCAGACUCCUACGGGAGGCAGCAGUGAGGAAUAUUGGUCAAUGGACGCAAGUCUGAACCAGCCAUGCCGCGUGCAGGAAGACGGUCCUAUGGAUUGUAAACUGCUUUUGUACGGGAAGAAACACUCCUACGUGUAGGAGUCUGACGGUACCGUAAGAAUAAGGAUCGGCUAACUCCGUGCCAGCAGCCGCCGUAACAC
rnacentral:rRNA from 1 species